rnacentral:tRNA from 1 species
AGUAAGGUAGUUUAAGGGGGAGAAUGCUUAUUUUACACGUAAGGGGUGGUUGUUGUGGCCUGUUACUA